UACGAAGGGUGCAAACGUUAUUCGGAAUCACUGGGCGUAAAGGGUGCGUAGACGGUAUGUUAAGUUCGUUGUUAAAGGCUCUGGCCUAACCGGAGUAUUGCAAUGAAAACUGGCAUGCUAGAGGGUGAGAGAGAGAAGUGGAAUUCCUGGAGUAGCGGUAAAAUGCGUAGAGAUCCGGAGGAACACCAGAGGCGCAGGCGGCUUGCUGGGUCUGUAUUGACGCUCAGACACGAAAGCAUGGGGAGCGAACGGG
rnacentral:rRNA from 1 species